rnacentral:rRNA from 1 species
CACGUAGGGGGCGAGCGUUGUCCGGAUUUAUUGGGCGUAAAGAGCUCGUAGGUGGCUCGGUAAGUCGGGUGUGAAAUUUCGAGGCUCAACCUCGAGACGCCACCUGAUACUGCUGUGGCUAGAGUCCGGUAGGGGAGCGUGGAAUUCCUGGUGUAGCGGUGAAAUGCGCAGAUAUCAGGAGGAACACCAGCGGCGAAGGCGCCGCUCUGGGCCGUAACUGACGCUGAGGAGCGAAAGCAUGGGUAGCAAACAGG